UACGAGGGUGCAAGCGUUAAUCGGAAUUACUGGGCGUAAAGCGUGCGCAGGCGGUUUGUUAAGUCUGUUGUGAAAUCCCCGAGCUCAACUUGGGAAUUGCAAUGGAUACUGGCAAGCUGGAGUAUGGUAGAGGAAGGUGGAAUUCCCGGUGUAGCAGUGAAAUGCGUAGAGAUCGGGAGGAACACCAGUGGCGAAGGCGGCCUUCUGGACCAAUACUGACGCUCAUGCACGAAAGCGUGGGGAGCAAACAGG
rnacentral:rRNA from 1 species